rnacentral:lncRNA from 1 species
GAGAGAGAGAGAAAAAGGAAACCUAAGGAGAAAGAAUAGGUGUUCAAAUGUUAAAUGAGUAAAUGAAUGAUUGGAUUGCCUGCAUUCAUUGCAGACCCUUAGGAAAUGUUUGCUGAGCAAAUGAGUAUCAGGAUUAGGAAUGUUUAAUAGGAUCAGGGAAGCCUCCAAUGAAACCUUGUUUAAAAAUAGAAGGGACCAGUGUGGUGUUGGUUGUGUUGAGUAUGGCAGAAGAGUUAAGUGCUGCUGUGUUAUCGUUUCUGUAUCAGAGCAGUGACUCUCCCAAGUUUUCCAGCCUUUUGGCAGGUAAUAUUUUGUGGCUAAAACAGAAUACGCAGAUCUUAAUAUUUCUAUAUUUAAGUGUCAUAGGAUAUGAGCCCCUGGCAUGAUAAGAGGCAGUGUGUGUGGUGGUUUAGCAUGUAGGAGCUCAAGCCCAACUGCCUGAUGUUUGAAUUCUGAUUCCACUACUUUCCAGCCGUGUGGUCUUGGGCAAUUGUCUUAACCUUCUGGUGCCUCGAUUUCCCCAUCUAUAAAAUGGAGAUCAAAAUAGGACCUCAGCCAUUUGAAUGACAGAAUAAUUGAAUGAAAUAAUACAUACAGAGGGUCCAGCAAAGAGGCAAUAAAUGUUAGUUGUGACAACAGAGUGCCAGUUGUGGGCCAUGACAGGUGACCACUUGUGCUAAUUUUAAAGUAGAAUAACUCAAGAAAAGCACCAGACUUUUAGGUCCCUAUGUAGCUAAAUCAUCUGGCCUGGAACUAUAAUGACAAUUUCCUGAAUUUGCUAAUGACUUUCAAGCCAAUUAAACACAUCUCUAUAUGUCUCAAAGCAUUUAAUGAAAAAGUCCAUCUAAUUCUGUUGCAUUCUGUAUUUCAUUUCGUAAUUUUGACACAAUAAUCUGUUUUAUGUCCUGGUCUGUUCUGGUCCAUUUCAUUUGAUUUCAUUCUGUUUGCAUUCCUAUAGUGUAUUCCACACCAUUUCAUAUUCCAUCGCAUUCCAUUCUACACAAUUCCACAUCUCCCCGGCCACAUCAGCCUGAGAGUAAUAAACAGACCUUGCCAUCGUAUCCCCUUUUGGAGACACAAGCCAGGAAGGAAGCUCUUCAGUGCAGCUGUGAAUAGAGAAAUGCUGGCUGAGGUUUUGGAGACACUGGGUGAUCAUUCCCAGUGAAAUUUUUAGAUCCCUGGGGACAUGAGCUGCUUUGUCUUUUCCAAGGCUGAAAAAGUUUUGGAAGCCCUCCUAAGCAGGUGCCAGACCCUUUUUUGGCCAGAGUUGGAGGAACUGGUUAUUUUCCCAGGGCUUUGACUGAAAUGGCCUUGUGAAUGGUUCCAGGAAAGCCAAUUUUGGAGACCCUAUGUGGAUGAUGAUGCUUGCUGUACUUUCUGUGGGUAAUCGGGCCAAGUAUAUGGGACUGAAGCUAAUUUUGCAGGUGAGAAAAUGGAGGUCCAGAGAGAAAAGUGACUCACCCAAGCUGAAAACAGUUGCAGGAAGAAAAGCCAGGACAGAACUGGGCUGUUAGAAACCUUGGUAGUGCACUUUUGAUUUCACUCUUAAAAUGCUCAAAUGUCUUUUUCUGACAACAUGUAGGGAGACCUGAGGUUGGACCUAAAGACACCAUAUAUUGGAUUCAGUGCUUCACACAAGUUAAUCUAAAUUUACCUCAAAAACCCAAUACCAUAUUUUGUCGAGCAGGCAACUGAGGCCCGGAGCAGCAUGCCAACUUGCCCAAGGACACUCAGUGGCUCAAAGCUUAUCUUUAUCAGCUGUUUCUAGGCCCCAGGUUCCUGACAACAUUCCAGGUGAAAGGACAAGCUGGAACCAUUGAGAAACAAAUGAGCAUCUUGUAAACCCAAAAUACAAGACCUUGCUAAACACCAGAGCUUGCCCGCAGCCAAGUUGUGAGACUUAAAAUUUGUCUUUAGGGCAUACAGCCACAUCCACUCACCCCCCACACACCAAGGCUUCUGGAACAUUUCUUUCUGCUUUAGAUGUCUAUUUCCAAGUGGUUAAAAAAAAAAUAGUGGCUGAGGAUCAGAAUCCCAAAAUUUUGCGUUUUGCUUUGCUACCAACAUCUUGCAUGUUCUUUGUAGUUACUUUACCUUCCUUUCCUUUAACUUCUUUAUAUCUGCAAAAACGAUGAAGGAGUACACUAAAGAUGAGGAACUGAGUCACCGCAAUGCCAAAUGUAACACGCUGUGGGUCAAAAUUUGGAUGGUUGCGUUGGAAAUUAUUCUGAAGCCACAGACAGGGCUAAAAGGUAAGUAUGAAUAAUUAGUAAUGCUUGCCAUAGACAGAUUAAAGUGUUGACAUCACAUAGGACAAGAAUUUGCCACCAAUAGAUGAGAGGAUUGUUGAUGUCCUUGAAUUGGAAAUGAACGAGCUAAUUGGUUAGUUACUUAUUCACUCUAACCCAGAAAGCAGCAGCUUGUGAAAAAAGUUUUUGCUGGUAACACACAGGAAAUAGAAAAUUUAGUAUUUUUUCCAGUGGAAAAGCCCUCUUGUAUCACCAAGCAGAAGAGAACAUGAUGUCUUUUCUUUUGAUGUAAUUUAGGAUGAUUCACAAAGUGUUCAUAGCAGGGAAGCUGAUGGAAAAGUGACAUGCCCCUAGACUUGAGAGAUGCUCUCUAAGUUUAAAAAGGAAACAGCUUAUUGUAAAAUUUAUUUGAAUCCUACAACCUUCCCAUAUCUGUGUAAUUAGCAAAAAGACAAGCUGCAACCAGAGAGGUAAAGUAUCAAUUUAUCUCAUACUUAUUUAUUGAGAACAUCCUCUGAGCUGUGUACUAUGUUAGGCAGAGAAAACAAACAAUAAGCAAGACACAGUCCCUGACUCCAUAUGAUUAUCAGGGAGGCUAGGAAAAGUCAUCUCUGCUUGGACAACUCCUUUCCAGAAAUACCUCUCUUCUCUUAAAGGGACAUGCACAUGUACAUAUUAUAAUAAAUGAA